UAAAAAGGAACUUGGUCUAAGACUAUCGCAUCUUACUGGCACGACUAAGUGACCAACAUCGUGUUGA
rnacentral:sRNA from 1 species